rnacentral:lncRNA from 1 species
GCCAACAUUCAGCCUCCUCUGCCCAUCAGCCUUGCUGACACAGGGAGUGGAGAUUUGUGUAGAGAAAUGACUCAUUCAAAUAUGACUUAAUCUAAACCGUAAGUGUAUGAUUUAUUAAUGUGCCACCAGGCCUUACACCAAGAGAGCCAUUCCAGAGAAAAGUCCUUUUUCUCCUGAGAACAGUGCCAGCAGCUGGCUUCGUGACAUUCUGGAAGCCCCGUGCAAUGCUGUCAGGAGCAUAGGGAUUUUACUUUAUCUCCCUUGCUUAUGCUCCACAUAACUGAAAUAUCUCACUGGAAGCUGCAGCAGUGCUGGCCCCUUGCACAGCCAUAUGUGACCACUGCAGAACAAUCAGUUGGAGAGACAGUUUGGACUACAUGGAGGGUGGAGAUAAGGACAAAGUGAAGAAUACACAGGAACCAGUGCCUCCUCCUGGAACUAUGCAACUCCAAGCUGCUUCCAUCAGCUGCUAGGUCCAGUAGGGAGGGACCUACUGAGAGAGCUAAUUAAAAAUGUGGUGUCCUGGACUCACGAAGCCAGAAUUGCUGAGGAGAUAGCCCGAGAAUCUGAAUUUUUAGCAGACAUUUUUUUAGCAUUUCUCUCAGGUACCUUACCCGCAGGAUCAUUUCUGUGAAUAUCCAUGAGGUGAAAAAGUCUGGGAAACACUGUCCUAGACAGGAAACGCCACGAAGUGUCUGGAUCAAAGAACAGACUAUUGCUCACAGAGCACCUUCAUAGCAUUGUUCCUCAUGCCCCCGUUGCCCAAGGGGAUGGCAGGUUGAGGACCAGAUGUACUUGCAUGUUCAGGGGAUGCAGCACAGAAGAGGAACUCCAAAAUUAUUAUUAUUAUUGUUAUUAUUAUUAUUUUUGAGAUGGAGUCUCGCUCUGUCGCCCAGCCUGGAGUGCAGUGGCGUGAUCUCGGCUCACUGCAAGCUCCGCCUCCCGGGUUCACGCCAUUCUCCUGCCUCAGCCUCCCGAGUAGCUGGGACUACAGGCACGCACCGCCACGCCCUGUUAAUUUUUUUUGUAUUUUUUUUUAGUAGAGACAGGGUUUCACCGUGUUAGCCAGGAUGGUCUUGAUCUCCUGACCUCGUGAUCCACCCGCCUCGGCCUCCCAAAGUGCUGGGAUUACAGGCGUGAGCCACCGCGCCCGGCCGAACUCCAAAAUUAUUAAACUCUGAGCGUCUGCAGGUGACUGACACAUCUGCGCUUCCUUUCUUCCAGGGUGUGGGGAAGAGCGAGAAAAAGAUUUCCGCUCUGGAAGGUAAACAAAUACUCUCUGGAGAGAGAAGAGGAAUGUCCCUAGCAGAUGUCUCCAGAGAAGACAAGACUUUAAAUUCCGCCAGGGAAAUAUACAAUGUCUAACUUCUAAGGCACAUUUGCCAUUCAAUCAUGCUUUAACCCACGUUGCCAGAAAUUUUUGCUCACUAGGUUUUGACUGUACAGGAAUGUGAAAAUAUUCAUGAAGAGUUGUUUUCCAAUGCUAAAGAAUUGAUGUGUUUUAACAGUUGAAUUAAUUGUAUUGAUUAUGAUCACACCUACUUUUUAUAUAUCUUCAUUUCUAACGUUUCUGUACAAUCCUGCCUUUCCACCUGAUAUAGUUAGGCCUUGUGUCAUCAACCAAAUCUCAUCUUGAAUUGUAAUCGCCAUAAUCCCCACGUAUUUAGGGAGAGACCUGGAGGGAGGUGUUUGGAUCAUGGGGGCGGUUUCCCGCAUGCUGUUCUCAUGACCAUGAGAGUAAGUUCUCAAGAGAUCUGAUGGUUUUAUAAGCGUCUGUCAUUUCCACUGCUUGCACUUCUGUGUCCUGCCACCUUGUGAAGAAGGACGUGGUUGCUUCCCCUUCCACCAUGAUUGUGUUUCCUGAGGCCUCCCCAGCCUUGCAGAGCUGUGAGUCAAUUAAACCUCUUUCCUUUAUAAAUUACUCAGUCUCUGUAUUCCUCUGCAGCAGUGUGAGAACAGACUAAUACAUCACCACUUUAUUUACUUUACUCUCUCCCCAUACCGAGGUUUUCUACAUUUUCUUUCUAGGUCUCUACAGUUUCUGCAAAGAUCCUUUAUGGAACUCUUAGGGAAGCUGGGAUGUAUAAUAAAUAAAGGGCUCUUUUCUUUGAGUCCCACACCCAUUUUCUGUGUAUAAAAAUCUUCAACUCCACUUUUGUCUGUUCUAUUUAAAUGUGUGCACAUUUCCUUCUAAUGUUGUAUAUGAAAAAGAGACACCUCUUAGCAGUCUUUCAUAGAGCAAAAUUUUUUACUUUGAUAAAAUCUAAUUUAUCAAUAUUUUUAAAUUUUAUGGAUCAAUCAUGCUUUUGAGGUUGAAUUUAAGAAUGCUUUGCCUAGCCCUAGAUCCCAAGUAUCUUUUAAAAAUUAUUUUUCUAAAUGCAUUAUUUAUGUUUUACACUUAAGUCUAUAAUCCAUUUUGAGUCCAUGUGUAAGAUUUAGGUUAAGGUCAAGAUUUAUCUGUUUUUGUUGUUUUCUCUAUAAAUGUCAAUUGCUCCAGCACUAUUUGUUUAAAAGCCAAUCUUUCCUCCGCUGAGUUCUUCCUAUAAGUUUGUCAAAAGUCAAUUUGGCAUCUUUGUAUAAGUUUAUUUCUGGAUUCUCUAUUCUGUUUUAUUGAUCACUGCAUCUAUCCCUCUUGAUUAGCUAGAUAAUAAAUCCUACAAUAAGGUAGAAUUCUUCCCACUUUAUUCAUAUUCAAAAUAUUUUAAAGCUAUUCUAGUUUCUUUUUAUUUCCAUAUAUAUUUUAGGAUAAUCUUAUCUAUAUUUACAACAUAUGUUGCUAGGAUUUUGAUAGAAUUUGUUUUAAAUUUGUGUAUCAAUGUAGGGAAGACCUGACAUCUUUACUAUUACGUUGAUCUUCCAAUCAAUGAAUAUGGUAUAUCUCUCAGUUUAUAGCUAUUGUCUUUAAUUUAUUUCAUCAUGGUUUUUAGUUUUCAGCAGAGAAGCUUUAUACAUGUUUUGUUAUACAUGUAUAACAAAAGAAGCCUUAUACACUGACAUUUUAUAUUUUGAACAAUUGUAAAUGGUAUUGUUUAAAAAUUUUGUUGUCUAUGAUAGAAAUAAAAUUGAUUUUUGUAGGUUUAUCUUGUAACCUAUGACUUGCUGAGCUCGCUCAUUAGUUUUUUUAUUGUGAUAAAAUAUACAUGAGAUAAAUUUCAUCAUUAUAAUCAUUAAGUUUAGACAUCAAUUGCAUUAAGUACAUAAAUGCCUUAUGCAACCAUCAUCUCUAUCCAUCUCCAGACCCUUUGCAUCACCCUAAAAUGAAACUCUGUGCCCAUUAAACAAUAACUCCCCAUUCUGCCCUCACCCCAGCCCUUGGUAAUUACCAUCCUACCUUUUAUCUCUAUAAAUUUAACCAUCCCAGGUAACUCAUAUAAGUGGAAUCAUGCAGUGUUUGUCCUUUUGUAACUGGUUUAUUUCACUUAGCAUGAUGUCUUCAAGGUUUGCCUAUGUCAUAGCAUGUGUCAGAAUUUCAUCCCUUUUUAAACUUAAAUAAUAUUCCACUGUAGGCAUAUGCCACAUUUUGUUUAUUUGUUCAUCUGUUGAUGGGCAUUUGGGUUGUUUCCACCUUUUGGCUACUGUGAAUAAUGCUGCUGUGAUCAUGGGUAUGCAACUGUCUCCUGGAGUCCCUGCUAUCAAUUCUUGUGGGUAUAUACCCAGAAGUGGAAUUGUUGCAACAUAUAGUAAUUCUAUGUUUAAUUUUUUGAGGACCUGCCAUAAUGUUUUCCACAGUAGCUACAUUGUCUUAUAUUCCCAUUAAGAGUUCCAAUUUCCUCACAUCUUCACCAAUACUUAUUGUUUUCUGUUUUUUUAAAUAAUAGCCAUCAUAAUAAAAGUAACAUGGUAUCUCAUUGUGGUUUUAACUGCAUUUCCCUUUUUACUGGAUUGUUUGUAAUAUUGCUGUAAUUGAGUUGUAGGAGUUUUUAAAUAUGUUCUGAAUAAUUAAUUUCUUAUCAGAUAUGUCAUUUGCAAAUAUUUUCUGCCAUUCUCUGGGUUGUCAUUUCACUCUCUUGAUAGUGUCCUUUGAUGCACAGAAGUUUUGAAAUUUGAUAAAGUUUAAUUUGCGUAUGUAUUUAUUUUGUUGCUUAUGCUUUUGGUGUCAUAUCCAAGAAAUUAUUGCCAAAUUCAGUGUCAUGAAGAUUUUCCCCUGUGUUUUCCUCUAAGAGUAUUAUAGUUUUAACUCUUGCACUUAGAUUGAUCCGCUUUGAGUUAAUUUUAGUAUAUGGGGUAAGACAAGGGCUCAAAUUUGUUCUUUUGUUUGAAGAUUCUAGGUCAUUUGUGAUCUUUAGGAUUUUCUAUGUAGACAUUAAUGUCAUCUUCAAAUAUGAACAGUUUAUUUCUUCCUUUUGUAUAUGUAUGAAUUUACUUUCCUUUUCUUGCCUUAUUGCACUGGCUAGAGUUUUCAGUACUAUGAUGAAUAAAAUCAGUGAGAGCAGACACCCUUGCUUUGUUUCUAAUCUUAGGAGGAAAGCUUUCAGUCUUUCAUCAUUAGGUAUACUGUUAGUUGUAGGCUUAUUAUAGAUGCUCUUUAUCAGGUUGAGGCAGUUUCCUCCUUGGUUAAGACUUUCUAUUUUUCAUUUUCAGUUAUGACCAGGCAUGUUCAUAACUGCUCAUCAAAACUUUGAAUUAGUGGCUGCUUUAACAUCCUUCUCAGACAAUUCUAACAUCUGUUUUGUUGGUGGUGGCAUCUAUCAAUUGUCUUUUUCAUUCUGUUUGAGAUCUUCCUUGCGUUUGGUAUGAUUUUUUUAAAUAUUAUGUCAUGAAACUGCAUCUUAUUUAAAUCUUCUGUUUUAGUUGGCUAUGUCUGACAUCACUUCCCCAGGGGAAGGUGUUGUUACUGCUAGUGGAGGGUGAGAAUUAUGGCUCUCCACUGACAUUGUGGUGGGAUUGGUCCCAUUACCACUGGGCAGGGUUGAAAGUCCUGACUUUCUGCUAGGCCUUCUCUGACUUCAUCGCAGCAGGAGGAAAAGAUGCCUCUGGAGUUGAAGUCAGGUUGCACUGACACUGUGUGUGUAUGGAGGUAGGCUGGGGUGAAAGUGGAGACUCAUUACCACAUGGUGAGUAGUUUCCAGCUCUCUAUUUGGCCUUCUCUGAUACCACCCAGACAGGGACAUUGGGGAUACCUCAUUACAGCCUAGUGAGGGUCAAACUCUAGGCUCCCCACUCAGUCUUUGCUAUCAUGGACACUGUAGGACCAUAGUUUUUUCUGUGCUGUUUGCUUGAUGUGUCUUCCUUGGACCCUGAGUUCCAUAGCUGGUCUGCAUUCCUCUCUCCACCUUUAAGACGUCUUCUUAUGUUUAUUUCAUAUUUAACAUCCAGGGUGGUAAUUAGAGGGAAGAAUAGAGGGAAAAGUACAGUUGCACUUUGUUGUUCAAAGAGCAGUUUUGAACUGCACAGACCCAUUUCUCUGAGCACACCCAGGGAUGAUUGUACUUGUAUAAAAUUUUUUUCCUGGAUGCAGAAUUCUCAAUUGACUGUGAAAGUUCAUAACAAAGAAAACAGUGGGGAAGACAAAUCUGGAAAUGAGGAAAAUAAAAAUUAAAUAGUGAGACCACCCAUGGAGCUUGUGGCAAAGCCUGAAUUGAAUCCGCUGUAUCUUAAGAUUGUGCCUCAUUCUAAAUUUAAGUCACCCUUCUCAUUAUGAAAGUGUCACAACUUCUCAGUAGGUGAGGAGACAGUCUAAAUUUGAGAAAAGAAAGUUACAACAAAGGUUUUGAGCAAGCUGCUAAGUGGAUUUAUUCAUGUUUGAGAAAUCAAAUAUAUGGUUAAUGAGCUCUUUAACUAGAAGCCAACACUAGGGAGGAGUAGACAGAAGUCACGGGGAGGGAGCCCCCGGACAUUUCAAAAGACUUUGCCCUGCAACAUCUCCUCCACAUUUAAGCUUUUAGGUUAUUGUAGCCACAUCACAAGCAUGUUACCUACCCAGAUAUUGUCUGCGCAUCAUUCCCAAAAGCUUCCCUGGGUCUUCAUAAUAUUAAUGAGAUUCUCCCCCAGGUUAGACCCCUUUGGCUUGAGUCAGAAACAGAAUUAAUCCGGGGGACAAUCCAGCAGCACCCAUCUCUGGGUUGCAGAAAUAUCUGAGGUGACCAGGCAGUGUUUGGAGUCCCCUCAGUUAGCUAACAAAGUGAGUUCACAGCUUCCAAGACCCCAGGCUUUCCAGGCUAAUAAAGAGCUGAGGUUAUAGGCUCUCCUUAUCAAACGCUCUUUGGCAGCUGCCAUAACCAUUCCAAGUCUAGUCCUAGAAUAGAAAUGACGCGGUUUCAGGAGCUGACAGAUGGAACUUUAAGCCUUCCUUCCUGCCACAUCUGAAGUUCUUUUUUAAAAAAAUAGAAAACCAUGACAAUAAACACUCCUUGAAUGCCCUGUGGAAAAGUGUACUCCUCAGAAUUCACUAAAGUGGGGUGAAGCAGUGGGUUGUGGUGCUGAGAAAACAUCUCUUCCCCUCGGCAGUAUAUUGGAAUCUCAUAGAAACUUCUGUGGCUGGGAAGCAAACAUGCUCUCUGCCCCAUUGCUCUUAUUCAUCUUUAGACCUGAUAAUACAGUUUGAACUUCAAGUUGCACUUUAAAUGGCAUGCAUUUUUA